rnacentral:rRNA from 1 species
ACGCACGCUGGCGGCGUGCCUAAUACAUGCAAGUUGAGCGAUGAAGAUUGGUGCUUGCACCAAUUUGAAGAGCAGCGAACGGGUGAGUAACGCGUGGGGAAUCUGCCUUUGAGCGGGGGACAACAUUUGGAAACGAAUGCUAAUACCGCAUAACAACUUUAAACAUAAGUUUUAAGUUUGAAAGAUGCAAUUGCAUCACUCAAAGAUGAUCCCGCGUUGUAUUAGCUAGUUGGUGAGGUAAAGGCUCACCAAGGCGAUGAUACAUAGCCGACCUGAGAGGGUGAUCGGCCACAUUGGGACUGAGACACGGCCCAAACUCCUACGGGAGGCAGCAGUAGGGAAUCUUCGGCAAUGGACGAAAGUCUGACCGAGCAACGCCGCGUGAGUGAAGAAGGUUUUCGGAUCGUAAAACUCUGUUGGUAGAGAAGAACGUUGGUGAGAGUGGAAAGCUCAUCAAGUGACGGUAACUACCCAGAGAGGGACGGCUAACUACGUG